GAUGAACGCUGGCGGCGUGCCUAAUACAUGCAAGUCGAGCGAACAGACGAGGAGCUUGCACCUCUGACGUUAGCGGCGGACGGGUGAGUAACACGUGGAUAACCUACCUAUAAGACUGGGAUAACUUCGGGAAACCGGAGCUAAUACCGGAUAACAUGUUGAACCGCAUGGUUCAACAGUGAAAGACGGUCUUGCUGUCACUUAUAGAUGGAUCCGCGCCGCAUUAGCUAGUUGGUAAGGUAACGGCUUACCAAGGCAACGAUGCGUAGCCGACCUGAGAGGGUGAUCGGCCACACUGGAACUGAGACACGGUCCAGACUCCUACGGGAGGCAGCAGUAGGGAAUCUUCCGCAAUGGGCGAAAGCCUGACGGAGCAACGCCGCGUGAGUGAAGAAGGUCUUCGGAUCGUAAAACUCUGUUAUUAGGGAAGAACAAAUGUGUAAGUAACUAUGCACGUCUUGACGGUACCUAAUCAGAAAGCCACGGCUAACUACGUGCCAGCAGCCGCGGUAAUACGUAGGUGGCAAGCGUUAUCCGGAAUUAUUGGGCGUAAAGCGCGCGUAGGCGGUUUUUUAAGUCUGAUGUGAAAGCCCACGGCUCAACCGUGGAGGGUCAUUGGAAACUGGAAAACUUGAGUGCAGAAGAGGAAAGUGGAAUUCCAUGUGUAGCGGUGAAAUGCGCAGAGAUAUGGAGGAACACCAGUGGCGAAGGCGACUUUCUGGUCUGUAACUGACGCUGAUGUGCGAAAGCGUGGGGAUCAAACAGGAUUAGAUACCCUGGUAGUCCACGCCGUAAACGAUGAGUGCUAAGUGUUAGGGGGUUUCCGCCCCUUAGUGCUGCAGCUAACGCAUUAAGCACUCCGCCUGGGGAGUACGACCGCAAGGUUGAAACUCAAAGGAAUUGACGGGGACCCGCACAAGCGGUGGAGCAUGUGGUUUAAUUCGAAGCAACGCGAAGAACCUUACCAAAUCUUGACAUCCUCUGACCCCUCUAGAGAUAGAGUUUUCCCCUUCGGGGGACAGAGUGACAGGUGGUGCAUGGUUGUCGUCAGCUCGUGUCGUGAGAUGUUGGGUUAAGUCCCGCAACGAGCGCAACCCUUAAGCUUAGUUGCCAUCAUUAAGUUGGGCACUCUAAGUUGACUGCCGGUGACAAACCGGAGGAAGGUGGGGAUGACGUCAAAUCAUCAUGCCCCUUAUGAUUUGGGCUACACACGUGCUACAAUGGACAAUACAAAGGGCAGCGAAACCGCGAGGUCAAGCAAAUCCCAUAAAGUUGUUCUCAGUUCGGAUUGUAGUCUGCAACUCGACUACAUGAAGCUGGAAUCGCUAGUAAUCGUAGAUCAGCAUGCUACGGUGAAUACGUUCCCGGGUCU
rnacentral:rRNA from 1 species